rnacentral:lncRNA from 1 species
AUGGAACAGUAUAUGGAAUCCAUGCAUUUAUAAAAAUAUGUACAAUGCAUAAUGUAUUACUUACAUGCUUUGGGCAAUAAGAGGAACAGUAUGCUUCACCAGCUUGCCAAAGCGUGGACUCCUGAAGCCAUGGUGUUAACUCAAGUCCUGCAUCUUCAGACUAAGACUUCUGAGAGGCCAUUUACAAUACUGGGUUUCUCUAGAGGAGCAGGAAGAAAGUUUCAUUGUUUAUAUAUAAUCACCUGGCUUUUGUGAUGCUUCUGCACUAACACUUGUUCAGAAAAAAAAACUUCAGCAGCUCUUAUUUUUUAAACUUAACCUGAUAGAGGAUCAGAUCUUGCACACUGCUCUUUAGUUAGCUGUAUAAAUUGCUUUGGCUUGUACAAGGAGAUUUAAGUAGUAGCUUUCCCUCUUGUAACUACACUGCUUCACUGUUGAUGUCCACUGCAAAUCAGUGCCCUAUUUCUCCAUCAGCCUUUCAAAUACAGAGCACAAUCUUCAUUCUAAAUCAGUUGGGAGGAGGUGAUGGUGUGUCAUUGUUUCCUAGACUUAUACAAAGCAGCCAAGAAACCAGAUUGCAGACAGUAAUGCGAGAGAUAUUUGCCUGAUAACAAGAUCUAAUUUGUACACACGUGUCAAAAUGUUUGUACACUUUCUGCAGGAAGACUUGUGCUUGUGUAAAGCUUCACAGGAGAGCUGCUUCAAAAGUAACACCUCCCAUUUUAUGCUGAGCUAUGACGUAAGAGGCGAAUGUUAGUAGUAUGGCAGUACAGGCUGAACCUUCCCACCAGUAUUCUGUUACAUUUUGUUGCUGUGCAACAGAUGGCAGCAGAUGGGCUGACAAAAUGGCAUCUGACAUGGAAGUACACAUGGAGCAAAGGUGUGUCACUGAAUUCCUCUGUGUGGAAAAAGUAGCUGAUAUUCAUUCAUGCUUGCUGAAUGUUUAUGGAGACUAAUCAGUGGAUGUGAGCACAAUGAAGCAGUAGGUAGAGUAUUUCAGCACUGGUGACAACAGUGUAAAGGAUAAGCCACAUUUUG